AAGUGAUACCCCUGAAACUUUAUUACACUCUUUAACCCAAGGCAGAAACAAUGUGGAAGAAUAUGUUUCUCACUUUCGUAGAUUAGCUGCAGAUACUUCAUGGAAUGAAGCAGCCUUAAAAUACCAACAUAGAUUGAGGUUGUCUGAAAAUCUUCGAGAUGAACUUGCAAGGACUGGUAUUCCUAGCACCUUAAGGGACUUAAUUGAUAUCACUAUCCAAUUAGACAGGAG